rnacentral:lncRNA from 1 species
GAGAGAGCGAGAGCGAGAGCUUGUGUGUGUGUGUGUGAGAGCGAGAGCUUGUCUGUGUAUGUGUGUCCCAAUAAUCUCUAUUUUCUCCUGAAGUGAAUACUCCUAAAGAACUUCCCACAAAUCUAAAGACAUUGUAUUUGUUGAGGAAUGGGCUAGAGGGAGUUUCCACCAGCCAUUUCCUUACACAUCAGUGAAGGGAAGUGAACAAGUACACACUAUGGGGGAAGAAGUGCUAAUUGGGACAUAACCAGUGUGUUUAUGUGAAAAAGAAUGUGUGUCUCCAAAUCUGUCCUCGGGACAGGUGGGUGGAGUUGAGUGACAGGUGCAGGAACGCUAAUUGGCUAGCAGCCAUAGAGUUCAUUACGGUGAUAGGUGGUAUGGGGGGAUAAUAAGAAAUGACCUGCCCUUAGGCUGGCCCGUAACAUAGUGAUUUGCAUAUUUUAUAUGUUUAAUCAAGACUGUUAGUAUAUGAAAGAUGUCAUUUAUUGUAUUUAUUUUCAUGGUCCCUGCUGGGAUUUUAGAAGACAAUGUAUAUGUUUGUGUGUAUUAGUUUGUUUGUGUGUUGGGCUGUUCUUUUCCCAGUAUACAUAGGGAGACGUAUUCAGAACCCGCUGGCUGAGCUGGUGAAGACUGACCCAAACACAUCAGCAUUGGAAACUACCAGAGCCGUGAUGUAAUUAGGCGAUGGAAACAAACAGAAUGUGUCUGUGCCCUUUGUCCGGAUAGAGGUGGAGAAGAGAGGAGUGAUGGGUGCUGACUGUACCCCUAGAGAAGCUCUCGUUGAAGUUGGACACUGGAGCUGGAGGCAGCGCAGUGCAUUCUGGGUGGUGGACAUUCCGUUGAAUAACAGAACCUCUGUGCAGAAGGACAAUGAUAGACGGAGAUGUCUGGGUGUAUUCAAACAAACUGAGAAAGCAUAAUAAACCACAGACCCACUCGGA